UACGUAGGGUGCGAGCGUUAAUCGGAAUACUGGGCGUAAAGCGUGCGCAGGCGGUGAUGUAAGACAGGUGUGAAAUCCCCGGGCUUAACCUGGGAACUGCAUUUGUGACUGCAUCGCUGGAGUGCGGCAGAGGGGGAUGGAAUUCCGCGUGUAGCAGUGAAAUGCGUAGAUAUGCGGAGGAACACCGAUGGCGAAGGCAAUCCCCUGGGCCUGCACUGACGCUCAUGCACGAAAGCGUGGGGAGCAAACAGG
rnacentral:rRNA from 1 species